ACCGAGAUUCCCCCAGUAGCGGCGAGCGAACGGGGAGGAGCCCAGAGCCUGAAUCAGCAUGUGUGUUAGUGGAAGCGUCUGGAAAGGCGCGCGAUACAGGGUGACAGCCCCGUACACAAAAGCGCAUGUGCUGUGAGCUCGAUGAGUAGGGCGGGACACGUGGUAUCCUGUCUGAAUAUGGGGGGACCAUCCUCCAAGGCUAAAUACUCCUGACUGACCGAUAGUGAACCAGUACCGUGAGGGAAAGGCGAAAAGAAC
rnacentral:rRNA from 1 species